AGUGAACGCUGGCGGUAGGCCUAACACAUGCAAGUCGAACGGCAGCACAGUAAGAGCUUGCUCUUACGGGUGGCGAGUGGCGGACGGGUGAGGAAUACAUCUGAAUCUACUUUUUCGUGGGGGAUAACGUAGGGAAACUUACGCUAAUACCGCAUACGACCUACGGGUGAAAGCAGGGGAUCUUCGGACCUUGCGCGAUUGAAUGAGCCGCUGUCGGAUUAGCUAGUUGGCGGGGUAAAGGCCCACCCAGGGGACGAUCCGUUGCUGGUCUGAGAGGCUGAUCAGCCACCCUGGAACUGAGACACCGUCAAGACUCCUACGGGAGGCAGCAGUGGGGAAUAUUGGACAAUGGGCGCAAGCCUGACCCAGCCAGACCGCGUGGGUGAAGAAGGCCUUCCGGUUGUAAAGCCCUUUUGUUGGGAAAGAAAAGCAGCAGGUUAAUACCCCGCUGUUCUGACGGUACCCAAAGAAUAAGCACCGGCUAACUUCGUG
rnacentral:rRNA from 1 species